rnacentral:rRNA from 1 species
AUUGAACGCUGGCGGCGUGCCUAACACAUGCAAGUCGAGCGGCAGCGCGGGGGCAACCCUGGCGGCGAGCGGCGGACGGGUGAGUAACGCUUGGGAAUCUGCCUGUUAGUGGGGGACAACCCGGGGAAACUCGGCUAAUACCGCAUACGCACUACGGUGGAAAGCCGGGGACCGCAAAGGCCUGGCGCUAACAGAUGAGCCCAAAGUCGGAUUAGCUAGUUGGUAGGGUAACGGCCUACCAAGGCGACGAUCCGUAACUGAUCUGAGAGGACGACCAGUCACACCGGAACUGAGACACGGUCCGGACUCCUACGGGAGGCAGCAGUGGGGAAUAUUGGACAAUGGGCGAAAGCCUGAUCCAGCGACGCCGCGUGGGUGAAGAAGGCCUGCGGGUUGUAAAGCCCUUUCGGUGGGGAAGAAAAGCCCUCGAGCUAAUACCUCGGGGGUCUUGACGUAACCCAUAGAAGAAGCACCGGCUAACUCUGUGCCAGCAGCCGCGGUAAUACAGAGGGUGCGAGCGUUAAUCGGAAUUACUGGGCGUAAAAGCGCGCGUAGGCGGCUUUGCAAGUCGGGUGUGAAAUCCCCAGGCUUAACCUGGGAACUGCAUUCGAGACUGCAUUGCUAGAGUAUGGGAGAGGGAAGUGGAAUUUCAGGUGUAGCGGUGAAAUGCGUAGAUAUCUGAAGGAGCAUCAGUGGCGAAAGCGACUUCCUGGACCAAUACUGACGCUCAUGUGCGAAAAGCGUGGGGGAGCAAAACAGGAUUAGAUACCCUGGUA